CUACGUGCCAGCAGCCGCGGUAAUACGUAGGGUGCGAGCGUUAAUCGGAAUUACUGGGCGUAAAGCGAGCGCAGACGGUUACUUAAGCAGGAUGUGAAAUCCCCGGGCUUAACCUGGGAACUGCGUUCUGAACUGGGUGACUAGAGUGUGUCAGAGGGAGGUAGAAUUCCACGUGUAGCAGUGAAAUGCGUAGAGAUGUGGAGGAAUACCGAUGGCGAAGGCAGCCUCCUGGGAUAACACUGACGUUCAUGCUCGAAAGCGUGGGUAGCAAACAGGAUUAGAUACCCUGGUAGUCCACGCCCUAAACGAUGUCAAUUAGCUGUUGGGCAACUUGAUUGCUUGGUAGCGUAGCUAACGCGUGAAAUUGACCGCCUGGGGAGUACGGUCGCAAGAUUAAAACUCAAAGGAAUUGACGGGGACCCGCACAAGCGGUGGAUGAUGUGGAUUAAUUCGAUGCAACGCGAAGAACCUUACCUGGUCUUGACAU
rnacentral:rRNA from 1 species